CGAGACUACGGAAGCCGGAAGGAGAGGGCUAAGGGGUGUCAGUGAAUGAGGGAUAAGAUGAAGCCUCCCUGGAUCUCUGAUGGGAAUGGAAGUGGUGAGGAGAAGCGAGGAAAUUAGUCUUCUUGCAUCUCAUUUGGGAGGAACUAGCUCACAUAUGGAGUCUCUCGAGAUUAGCCUUACAGUUGCUGCCAAAGAGUUUUUGGUGUCUGACAGGGUUAUCUCAGAAGUAUCCUGGACCUUCAACCUUUUGGAAGGACACAUUCUGCA